rnacentral:rRNA from 1 species
UACGAAGGGUGCAAGCGUUACUCGGAAUUACUGGGCGUAAAGCGUGCGUAGGUGGUUCGUUAAGUCUGAUGUGAAAGCCCUGGGCUCAACCUGGGAAUGGCAUUGGAAACUGGCGACCUAGAGUGCGGUAGAGGGUAGUGGAAUUCCCGGUGUAGCAGUGAAAUGCGUAGAGAUCGGGAGGAACAUCCGUGGCGAAGGCGGCUUCCUGGACUGUCCCUGACGCUGAGGCGCGAAAGCGUGGGUAGCAAACAGG